UCGGGAAUUUUGGGCAAUGGGCGAAAGCCUGACCCAGCAACGCCGCGUGAAGGAUGAAGUAUUUCGGUAUGUAAACUUCGAAAGAAUAGGAAGAAUAAAUGACGGUACUAUUUAUAAGGUCCGGCUAACUACGUGCCAGCAGCCGCGGUAAUACGUAGGGACCAAGCGUUGUUCGGAUUUACUGGGCGUAAAGGGCGCGUAGGCGGCAAUUCAAGUCAUCUGUGAAAUCUCCGGGCUUAACUCGGAACGGUCAGAUGAUACUGCUUUGCUAGAGUGCAGAAGGGGCAAUCGGAAUUCUUGGUGUAGCGGUGAAAUGCGUAGAUAUCAAGAGGAACACCUGAGGUGAAGACGGGUUGCUGGGCUGACACUGACGCUGAGGCGCGAAAGCUAGGGGAGCAAA
rnacentral:rRNA from 1 species